rnacentral:rRNA from 1 species
AAUCUUGCGCAAUGGGCGAAAGCCUGACGCAGCAACGCCGCAUGGGAGAAGAAGGCCUUCGGGUUGUAAACCCCUUUCAGGAGGGAAGAAAAUGACGGUACCUCCAGAAGAAGCACCGGCCAACUACGUGCCAGCAGCCGCGGUAAUACGUAGGGUGCGAGCGUUAUCCGGAAUCAUUGGGCGUAAAGAGCUCGUAGGCGGUUCAACAAGUCGGCUGUGAAAGUCCGGGGCUCAACCCCGGAAUUGCAGUCGAUACUGUUGUGACUUGAGUCCGGUAGAGGAGAAUGGAAUUCCCGGUGUAGCGGUGGAAUGCGCAGAUAUCGGGAGGAACACCAGUAGCGAAGGCGGUUCUCUGGGCCGGCACUGACGCUGAGGAGCGAAAGCGUGGGGAGCAAAC